rnacentral:misc_RNA from 1 species
UGGUUCUGGCAUCGAUGAAGAACGCAGCGAAAUGCGAUAAGUAAUGUGAAUUGCAGAAUUCAGUGAAUCAUCGAAUCUUUGAACGCACAUUGCGCCCCUUGGUAUUCCGGGGGGCAUGCCUGUUCGAGCGUCAUUUCAACCCUCAAGCAAUGGCUUGGUCUUGGGCUCUGCCGGGAACGGCUGGCCUUAAAAUCAGUGGCGGUGCCAUCGAGCUCUAUGCGUAGUAGUACAAUUCUCGCAUUUGGGUCUUGGUGAGUGCUUGCCAGCAACUCUCACUUUUUUUGGUUGACCUCGGAUCAGGUAGGGAUACCCGCUGA